rnacentral:rRNA from 1 species
GAUGAACGCUGGCGGCGUGCCUAAUACAUGCAAGUCGAGCGAACGGACGAGAAGCUUGCUCCUCUGAUGUUAGCGGCGGACGGGUGAGUAACACGUGGAUAACCUACCUAUAAGACUGGGAUAACUUUGGGAAACCGUAGCUAAUACCGGAUAAUAUUUUGAACCGCAUGGUUCAAAAGUGAAAGACGGUCUUGCUGUCACUUAUAGAUGGAUCCGCGCUGCAUUAGCUAGUUGGUAAGGUAACGGCUUACCAAGGCAACGAUGCAUAGCCGACCUGAGAGGGUGAUCGGCCACACUGGAACUGAGACACGGUCCAGACUCCUACGGGAGGCAGCAGUAGGGAAUCUUCCGCAAUGGGCGAAAGCCUGACGGAGCAACGCCGCGUGAGUGAUGAAGGUCUUCGGAUCGUAAAACUCUGUUAUUAGGGAAGAACAUAUGUGUAAGUAACUGUGCACAUCUUGACGGUACCUAAUCAGAAAGCCACGGCUAACUACGUG